ensembl:lncRNA
ACCCCCUUAAUUACCCCCUUAAUUAGUGCCCCCCUUAAUUAGUGACCCCCCUUAAUUACCCCCUUAAUUAGUUCCCCCCCUUAAUUAAUACCCCCCUUAAUUACUGACCCCCCUGGGACCACCCAGGCAGCUCCAGGAGUGGCCCAAGGAACGAGCCCUGAUUCGCCGAUUGGAGCAGAUCUGUCACGUGAUCCUCACCGGCCAAUGGCACGAGAGCCCGCCGGGAGCUCAUUACCAUAACGACCCCGCCCCUCCCCCACCCACCUACACCCGGCUCAGACCCCCCCCACCAGGGAAGGAGUUCACGGUUCAGAUCAAAGACGUGAGUUUUGGGGCUAAUUUGGGCGAUUUUGGGUCAUUUUGGGUCAUUUUUGACGUCAUUUUUGGGUUUUUUGGGGUCUUUUAUGGCUAUUUUUGGUCAUUUCGGGUGAUUUUAGCCUCAUUUUUGGGGUAAUUUAGGGCCAUUUUGGGGCCACCCCCCCCCGCACGGUGCAGAUCAAAGACGUGAGUUUUGGGGCUAAUUUGGGCGAUUUUGGGUCAUUUUGUGUCAUUUUUGAGGUCAUUUUUGGGUUUUUUGGGGUCUUUUAUGGCUAUUUUGGGUCUUUCUGGGUCAUUUUGGGGUCAUUUUUGGGGUAAUUCGGUGCCAUUUUGGGGCCACCCCCCCUCAUACGGUGCAGAUCAAAGACGUGAGUUUUGGGGCUAAUUUGGGCGAUUUUGGGUCAUUUUAGGUCAUUUUUGAGGCCGUUUUUGGGUUUUUUGGGGUCAUUUAUGGCUAUUUUGGGUCUUUUUGGGGCCAUUUUCGGUGAUUUUUGUGGUCAUUUGGGGCCAUUUAGGAUGCCCCCCCCCAAAAGGGAAGGAGUUCACGGUGCAGAUCAAAGACAUGAGUUUUGGGGCUAAUUUGGGCGAUUUUGGGUCAUUUUAGGUCAUUUCUGAGGCCAUUUUUGGCUUUUUUGGGGUCAUUUAUGGCUAUUUUGGGUCUUUUUGGGUCAUUUUGGGGUCAUUUUUGGGGUCAUUUCGGGCCAUUUUGAGGCCACCCCCCCCCCACGGUGCAGAUCAAAGACGUGAGUUUUGGGGCUAAUUUGUGCGAUUUUGGGUCAUUUUAGGUUAUUUUUGAGGCCAUUUUUGGGUUUUUUGGGGUCAUUUAUGGCUAUUUUGGGUCUUUUGGGGUGAUUUUGGGGUCGUUUUUGGGGUCAUUUGGGGCCAUUUUGGGAUGCCCCCUCCACCAGGGAAGGAGUUCAGGGUGCAGAUCAAAGACGUGAGUUUUGGGGCUAAUUAUGGCGAUUUUGGGUCAUUUUAGGUCAUUUUUGAGGUCGUUUUUGGCUUUUUUGGGGUCAUUUAUGGCUAUUUUGGGUCUUUUUGGGUCAUUUUAGCCUCAUUUUUGGGGUAAUUUAGAACCAUUUUGGGGCCACCCCCCCCUCACAGUCUAGAUCAAAGACGUGAGUUUUGGGGCUAAU